CGCAAUGGGUGGGCCGUGCAGGGCAUCUUCGGAUGCGCCGGUUCCUAAUCCCGGUACGCCAACCUGUACGGUCCGCCCUCCCUG
rnacentral:antisense_RNA from 1 species